rnacentral:siRNA from 1 species
GAACAGUGAAUAGAAGUGGUAGA